CAUCCACAUCCACAUCCACCCGCUAUGUGGAUACCCUCCUCCACACCUGACACCUCUACCUCCAUGGCCAAGCGCCCUUGUCCGUUCUCAUCCAUAUCCUUCUCCUCAGUAACCACCACCACCAACGCCACCACCACUACAAGCUCUAGUAGGCAACCGAACAUGAGCCACCAAGUGGAUAAUCUCCUCCAAACAUUUCUGGACCUAGCAGACUCACCUGCUCUCUUUAUUGACCUCUCCUUCGAGCGUCUCCUCGAUUCCUUCCCUUGCGACGCCGAUCAGUCCCUCCUCAUCGAUCGUGCCCUCAAAUUGGGCUCUAUACUUCUCGAAGCUGGGAAACGCU
rnacentral:misc_RNA from 1 species